rnacentral:rRNA from 1 species
GACGAACGCUGGCGGCGUGCUUAACACAUGCAAGUCGAGCGGUAAGGCCCUUUCGGGGGUACACGAGCGGCGAACGGGUGAGUAACACGUGGGUGACCUGCCCUUAGCUCUGGGAUAAGCCUGGGAAACUGGGUCUAAUACCGGAUAUGACUCCAUGACGCAUGUUGUGGGGUGGAAAGCCUUGUGCGGCUAGGGAUGGGCCCGCGGCCUAUCAGCUUGUUGGUGGGGUGAUGGCCACCAAGGCGACGACGGUAGCCGGCCUGAGAGGGCGACCGGCCACACUGGGACUGAGACACGGCCCAGACUCCUACGGGAGGCAGCAGUGGGGAAUCCUGCGCAAUGGGCGAAAGCCUGACGCAGCGACGCCGCGUGGGGAUGACGGCCU